AACAUUUGCUAACUAACUGGGAGUCUCCUGAGUGAAAGCAUCUGAAGUUCUUCAGAGGACCUGAGCCCUAGGACCAUGCGUCAGGACUACCUUGCACGAUGACUCCUUGCUGUCCCCAGUCCACCUGGCCUUGCCGCUGUUCCAGUUUCAACUGUUCUGCCUGCGGCUAUGGAACCCUAAACUGUUCAUUUUUACUCUUGAGGUGCUGUCCUGUUGCACCCUCUACAACCACUGUGAUCUCCACCCGGCACAGCCAGAAGAGGACUGGCCACCCCUCAUAGCCUGGUUCCUCUCUAGAUUUUUAUUUAUUUUCUGAGUGCAGUCUCAGAUUAUUGCAUGGUUUGCUUUUUCUGUAAAGUAUUUUUGAUGGUAUGGUUGCAUUAAGGAGACGUAUAUCAAUAAUUCCAUGCGUAUAACUUGUAUUUUCAUCAACAUUUAUGAUGAGUAUUUCUGUUGAAUUAUUGUGGCUAUGCAAAAUCACUGGAUGUUUUUGGAACUAGUGAACGUAACGUGCCAAUGUAAACUUAGAUGUUUCGAUAUAAAUAUGAACUUUAUCAAACAAAACAGAACAAUGCUUGAUUUGUUUGAUAAUGUCCAUUAUUUAUAUCCAAGUAGCUACUUUUGUUAGCCCGUUUAGUACACAAAUCCAGAAGCUCGUGCAGGUCCAUCCGAAUGUCGUACGGAAACUUCAAAAAGUUAUAUUACAGGUCAAAGAAACUUGUCAAACUAAGUACAGAAUCAAUCUUUAGGGUGUUGUUAUCAUAAAUCUUCAAUAAAGAAGAUACAAUUCCUUUGUGUGUAGAGAAGCCAGGGAACGCAGGUUGCUAUCAUGUGAAUUGCGCGUGACCAGCCCUUGGCUCUCUGCCAGACACCUGGUUCAUUCAACUCCCAUUCAGCCCCACAACACAGUAGAAGUGUUGUCCUCAAGUUUCUAAAGAUGGUUGAUAUCUAGUGGAAGCCCUAGGAAGUGCAACUUCAUCCAUAUCCCACUAUGAAUUCAAUAGGGGCUGGGUUGAAAAUCGACCAACCUCAGAUUUCUCACUUCCUGUUUGGAUUUCUUCUCAGGUUUUUGCCUGCCAUGAGUUAUGUUAUACUCACAGACAUCAUUUAAACAGUUUUAGAAAUUGCAGGGUGUUAUAUAUACUACUAAUAAUAUGCAUAUAUUAGCAACUGGGACUGAGAGGCAGGCUGUUUACUCUGGGCAUCUUUCUUCCAAGCUACUCAAUACUGCCCCUGCAGCCAUAAGAAGUUAAAGGAUAGCUGUAGAUGAUGAGUUAUUUUUCCUAUUGUCAUUAUUUUAGUUUUCUCCACGUACAUUCUAUAUCCUGAGAUUUAAGAGUAUUCUAAAAAUAUUUUUAACAAGGCGGGCAUUGAGUUAUCAAUACUAGCCAGGUAUAUCAGGAGAUCAUCUGCAAAUAAGUUUAGUUUAUAUUCAUGUUUACCAGUAAUGAUACCUGUUAUGUUUGGGUCCUGUCUUGUUAUUUUUGCAAGCAGUGGUUCAAUUACCACUGCACACAGGAGAGGGGAGAGAAGACAUCCCUGUCUCAUGCUCCACUUUUUAAAAAUCAAUUUCAUCAGAUAAUGUAUUAUUUGUGUCUAUUUUUGCUUUAGGAUAUUUAUAUAAUAUUUUUAUGAAAUGUAAAAUUUCAAAUGGAAAGUUGAAUGCUUCCAAAGUUUUGAAUAGAAAAGACCACUCAAGAUGGUUGAAAGCCUUUUUGGCAUCAAUUGAUAUUUUAAAUCAACAUGUUUUUUGUGUAUUAUACUGGAACGUAUUAUUGUAUUUGUUUCUAAGUGUCUAUUUUUAAUAAACCAUGUUUGAUU
ensembl:lncRNA